rnacentral:ribozyme from 1 species
GGGGAGCCUGUACUUAAAAGAGGACAAUGUCCACCUCUACUCGGUCGACAAUUCGAUCCGGAAUCGCGUCGUCGACAUCCUGCCGUCGCAAGGGACGGUCCCCACCAACG